UGGCUCACGCAUCGAUGAAGAACGCAGCGAAAUGCGAUAAGUAAUGUGAAUUGCAGAUUUCAGUGAAUCAUCGAAUCUUUGAACGCACCUUGCACCCUUUGGUAUUCCGAAGGGUAUGCCUGUUUGAGUGUCAUUAAAAUAUCAACCUUGAGACGUUCUUUUGAGCGUCGCAAGGCUUGGACUUGGGGGUUUCUGCGGGCUGCAUCUGCGGUCGGCUCCCCUUAAAGACAUUAGCCGAGGUCCUCCCUCUGCCUAUUGGUGUGAUAACUAUCAUCGCCGAUUAAGCAAGUGAGACUUUGCUUCCAAUCGUCUUCGGACAGCUCCUCUCGGGGCUCUUUAAUGACUAUUGUGACCUCAAAUCAGGUAGGACUACCCGCUGA
rnacentral:misc_RNA from 1 species